rnacentral:rRNA from 1 species
ACUACGAAUACCGAAGAAUGUUAUCACGGGAGACACACGGCGGGUGCUAACGUCCGUCGUGAAGAGGGAAACAACCCAGACCGCCAGCUAAGGUCCCAAAGUCAUGGUUAAGUGGGAAACGAUGUGGGAAGGCACAGACAGCCAGGAUGUUGGCUUAGAAGCAGCCAUCAUUUAAAGAAAGCGUAAUAGCUCACUGGUCGAGUCGGCCUGCGCGGAAGAUGUAACGGGGCUAAACCAUGCACCGAAGCUGCGGCAGCGACACUAUGUGUUGUUGGGUAGGGGAGCGUUCUGUAAGCCUGCGAAGGUGUGCUGUGAGGCAUGCUGGAGGUAUCAGAAGUGCGAAUGCUGACAUAAGUAACGAUAAAGCGGGUGAAAAGCCCGCUCGCCGGAAGACCAAGGGUUCCUGUCCAACGUUAAUCGGGGCAGGGUGAGUCGACCCCUAAGGCGAGGCCGAAAGGCGUAGUCGAUGGGAAACAGGUUAAUAUUCCUGUACUUGGUGUUACUGCGAAGGGGGGACGGAGAAGGCUAUGUUAGCCGGGCGACGGUUGUCCCGGUUUAAGCAUGUAGGCUGGUUGUCCAGGCAAAUCCGGAUAAUCAAGGCUGAGGUGUGAUGACGAGGCACUACGGUGCUGAAGUAACAAAUGCCCUGCUUCCAGGAAAAGCCUCUAAGCAUCAGGUAACAUCAAAUCGUACCCCAAACCGACACAGGUGGUCAGGUAGAGAAUACCAAGGCGCUUGAGAGAACUCGGGUGAAGGAACUAGGCAAAAUGGUGCCGUAACUUCGGGAGAAGGCACGCUGGUGUGUAGGUGAAGCCCCUGCGGGUGGAGCUGAGACCAGUCGAAGAUACCAGCUGGCUGCAACUGUUUAUUAAAAACACAGCACUGUGCAAACACGAAAGUGGACGUAUACGGUGUGACGCCUGCCCGGUGCCGGAAGGUUAAUUGAUGGGGUUAUCCGUAAGGAGAAGCUCUUGAUCGAAGCCCCGGUAAACGGCGGCCGUAACUAUAACGGUCCUAAGGUAGCGAAAUUCCUUGUCGGGUAAGUUCCGACCUGCACGAAUGGCGUAAUGAUGGCCAGGCUGUCUCCACCCGAGACUCAGUGAAAUUGAACUCGCUGUGAAGAUGCAGUGUACCCGCGGCAAGACGGAAAGACCCCGUGAACCUUUACUAUAGCUUGACACUGAACAUUGAGCCUUGAUGUGUAGGAUAGGUGGGAGGCUUUGAAGCGUGGACGCCAGUCUGCGUGGAGCCAACCUUGAAAUACCACCCUUUAAUGUUUGAUGUUCUAACGUUGGCCCCUUACCGGGGUUGCGGACAGUGUCUGGUGGGUAGUUUGACUGGGGCGGUCUCCUCCCAAAGCGUAACGGAGGAGCACGAAGGUUAGCUAAUCCUGGUCGGACAUCAGGAGGUUAGUGCAAUGGCAUAAGCUAGCUUGACUGCGAGCGUGACGGCGCGAGCAGGUGCGAAAGCAGGUCAUAGUGAUCCGGUGGUUCUGAAUGGAAGGGCCAUCGCUCAACGGAUAAAAGGUACUCCGGGGAUAACAGGCUGAUACCGCCCAAGAGUUCAUAUCGACGGCGGUGUUUGGCACCUCGAUGUCGGCUCAUCACAUCCUGGGGCUGAAGUAGGUCCCAAGGGUAUGGCUGUUCGCCAUUUAAAGUGGUACGCGAGCUGGGUUUAGAACGUCGUGAGACAGUUCGGUCCCUAUCUGCCGUGGGCGCUGGAGAAUUGAGGGGGGCUGCUCCUAGUACGAGAGGACCGGAGUGGACGCAUCACUGGUGUUCGGGUUGUCAUGCCAAUGGCACUGCCCGGUAGCUAAAUGCGGAAGAGAUAAGUGCUGAAAGCAUCUAAGCACGAAACUUGCCCCGAGAUGAGUUCUCCCUGAGACUUUAAGUCUCCUGAAGGAACGUUAAAGACGAUGACGUUGAUAGGCCGGGUGUGUAAGCGCAGCGAUGCGUUGAGCUAACCGGUACUAAUGAACCGUGAGGCUUAACCUU